rnacentral:rRNA from 1 species
UACGGAGGGUGCGAGCGUUAAUCGGAAUUACUGGGCGUAAAGGGUGCGUAGGUGGUUUGAUAAGUUAGCUGUGAAAGUCCUGGGCUUAACCUGGGAAGGUCAGCUAAGACUGUUGAACUUAGAGUAUAGGAGAGGGUAGUGGAAUUUCCGGUGUAGCGGUGAAAUGCGUAGAGAUCGGAAGGAACACCAGUGGCGAAGGCGGCUACCUGGCCUAAUACUGACACUGAGGCACGAAAGCGUGGGGAGCAAACAGG